GCUGGGCAUGGUGGCGGGUGCCUGUAAUCCCAGCUACUCGGGAGGCUGAGGUAGGGAGAAUUGCUUGAACCCGGGAGGUGGGGGUUGCAGUGAGCCAAGAUCGCUCCACUGCACUCCAGCCUGGGUGACGUAGCGAGACUCUGUCUCAAAAAAGAAAGCCAAGAUAGGCUGAAAACUAGGCCUUUUUCACCAAACAGCCAAGUUAUGUAUGCAAAGGAAAAGUUCUUUUUUUUUUUUUUUUUCGAGAAGGAGUCUCACUCUGUCGCCCAGGCUGGGGUGCAGUGGUGCGAUCUCGGCUCACUGCAAGCUCCACCUCCCGGGUUCACGCCAUUCUCCUGCCUCUG
rnacentral:SRP_RNA from 1 species